AUGGAGAAGAAGCUGCCGCUGGCGCUGGCGCUGGCGCAGAAGCACGGCGCCGGGGAGCCCGCGUGGGCGCGGCCGUGGCGGUGGGCCAAGACGGCCUUCUUCCUCGUCGCCAUGCUCGCCUCGCUGCUGCUCGUCUGCGCGCCGCCCCUGCUCGUCGUGCUCCUCGACCUCGCCCUCCCGCCCAUGCUCCUCUCCGCGCACCUCCGCGCCGACGCCGGCGCCGAGCCCCCGCACCGGUCCUUCGUGCCGGCCAUGCUCGACCAAGCGCGCGCGUUCGAGUUCCGGUCCUCCCUCGUCGACCUGCCCGCCGUCUCCGCCGCGCGCGCCCUGCUCAUCCUCUGCGCGUACACGGUGUGCGGGGGAGGAGGCGGCGCGUACCUGUGGGUGGUGGCGGCGAGCGCCGCGGCGUCCGCGUCGUACGUGCUGGCCAAGGCGGCCGCCGUGCUGCCGCGCGGCGCCGCGCCGCAGGGGAAGGGCGCCGGCGGGCCGGAGCCGAUGCUCCUGCUCUCCCUGUCGCUCGCGGCCGCGCACCUCGCCGUCGCGUACCGGGCCAGCUGCCGCGAGCGCCGCCGCCUGCUCGUCUACCGGAUCGACGUGGAGGCCGUACGGCUGAAAGGGGGCCACCAGACACCCAAGGGGCUGAAGCAGUGCAGCGUCUGA
rnacentral:rRNA from 1 species